CCUCGCGACGCCCGCAGCCGUUGAUAACUACCAGCUGACAACAGCCCUUUAAAGCCGCUAAGGCAAGACGCGUUCGCCCAGGAGCGAGCAUUCACAGCAAAGAAGCACCGGCUUCUGACUCUCCUGAAACCCACAGCUGGAAUGAGCGCGCGGGGGAUGGGAGGGGCGAACAGGGCUUCGCGAGCUGCGCCGGCUGUGAGGAGAAAGUUCAGCGGAACUUACGUGGAAAAAUUCAGCGCGUGAGGAGUCGCUGCCCCGAGAUCUGUAGAACAAAGAAGCUACAGCAGAACGCAGCUGUAGAAUCUUUGUUCUGCAGAACUUUCUUGAUGUUUCUGCGCCUUUAAUCCACAGCAGCCGGGGCGGGGCCAGGACGCAGGUGGGCCUGGAUUGGUCAGCAUGUGGGCAUUGUGACGUCAGCAGCUGAUGGAUGGUUGUCUGACACAAUCCACCCCGACAGCCUUCGGUAUGCCUGGCCUCAUGGUCACUGUCGAAGAAGUCCAAUCAGCCUUCCUGAGAGUGCACCUGCAGAAAGCAACAGACACAAAUGGAGUGCCCAGCCAGGUCCUCGGGACUUGCACAAAUCAACUGGUAUUCAGUUUUGAUGAAGGAUCUCAGAUGUGAAACAUUAAUUGGAGACACAAGAGACUGGAAUCUUGGGGGAAAAAAAUAGGAACAGCAGGUCGGGCAGUAUCUGUGGAGGAAAUUAGUAGAUUAUGUUUUGGGUCAGUACCAUUCACCAGUCUGAACACAAGCCCAUCCUCCUCAAUGGAGCUGCUGUAGAGAUGGUUGAAAGCUGAGCACCCAUAUCUGGACUUGACCUGGUCCCUUCACACUGAUGUGGUGAUCAAGAAAGUGCAUCACCAUAUUUACUCUCUUUAACAUCAGAGAUUCAGCAUGUCCACGAGGAUUUCCUCGAAUAUCGUCGGAUGCACUAUAGAAGGUAUUCUAUCGGGAUACGUCUCAGCCUGGUAUGGCAAUUGCUCUGCUCUUGACCUACACCUGCAGACUGGUGAACUCAGCCAAGUCCAUCGCAGAUUCAUCACUUCCUUCCAUGCAGUCUAUCUUAAUGGCACAUUGCAUCAGGAAUGUUUGGAGUAUCAAGGAUGUCAAUCUUCUGGCUAUUCACAUGUAUCUCUGUUCUACCUUCUAGGAGAUGAUACAGAUGCUUGAAAGCCCGGAUGUCCAUACUUAAAAACAGCUGAUUUUCCACUGCUAUCAGACUCCUGAACAAAUCACCCCUUUCACACCCCUUCCAAGAGGUGUCACCACAUACUCUUAGCUUUAGCUCAUUUGGUACUCUGUAUUGUACUUUUGGGUUUUUUUGCAUUAUAAUCUGUGCAUCACUCUGCUGCUUUGCAUUUGUUGGUGUAUUUAUCAUUACCAUGUAUGUGUUCUCUAUGAGCUUCAUGCUAACAAGGAAUUUCAUUGCAUCCAUGCUCAGGAUCUCAAAUAUUUUAACAGCACUCAACUUCCCUGUCACUUUCAAAGAUUUCUGUACAUAUAAUUGUCCAAAAGGUUGUGUUCUCGCACAUCCUUUAGAACUGUGCCAUUUAGCCCACAUUGCUUCAACUUGCUCUUUCAGCCAAAUUGUAUCAUUUUACAAUAUCUGUAUUAAAUUUAAUCUGCUAGCACACUGCAGUCUCCUACUAUUAUCUUCACCACUUGCCACACCUUAAAAUGGUCUGAAGAUUUUGAAACUUUAUCCCACACAUCCAUGUUCAAAUCAUUAACAUUCAUCAAAGCAGCAUUGAUCCCUGGAUAACACCACUGUUUUCCAUCCUUUCGGCUGUUGUCAUUAAGCCAAUUUUUAUGCAUGCUGCCAUUUAACAUUUAUUCUAUGGGGCUCAGCUUUGUUUACUAACUGUUUGCAGCAGACAUUGUAAAAUACCUUCUGAAAAGCAUACUGACAACAUCUACAGGGUUUCCUCCAUGUAUCUUUCAUGUGGGUCUGAGAUUCAGGGCAAUGCUGCUCAAAAUCUUGCAGUGACCUACACUACUCCUAGGGCUGAAGAAUCAGCUUCUUUGGUCCCUUGCAUCUGACCUAGGUGGAUCAUGGGGAAAUGCAGCUCAUUUUGACACUUACUUCUCCCACAAAAGACUUAUGUGCAUACAGUGGUGCAGCGGUAGAGUUGCCGUCUUACAACCCGAAGACCCGGGAUCGAUCCCGACAAUGGCUGCUGUCUGUACGGAGUUUGUACAUUCUACCCGUGACCUGCGUGGGUUUUCUCCGAGAUCUUCGGUUUCCUCCCACACUCCAAAGACAUACAGAACCCUCUGCGUAGGAAGGAACUGCAGAUACUGGUUUAAACCAAUGAUAGACACAAAAUGCUGGAGUAACUGCGGGACAGGCAGCAUCUCUGGAGAGAAGAAAUCCGUGAUAUUUCGGGUCGAGACCCUUCUUCAGACUGGUUGUCAGACCCUCUGCUUUCUAUUUGCAACAUCUUUAAAUUUAAAGUCAUAGAGUGAUACAGUGUGGAAACAGGCCCUUCAGACCAACUUGCCCACACCCGCCAACAUGUCCCAGCUACACUCAUCCCACCUGCUUGUGCUUGGUCCAUAUCCCUCCAAACUUGACCUAUCCACGUACCUGUCUACACAAUACACAAUACAAUUUAUUUGUCACUUGAACCUCAUAGAGGCUCAAAUGAAAUGUUGUUUCUGCAGUCAUACACACAUGAAAAAAAAAGACCCAAGACACAACACAAUGUACAGACAUCCAUCACAGCGCAUCUCCUCCUCGCUGUGAUGGAAGGCAAAAAAAAACUUAUCUCUCCGUUGGGAUAGUCCCAACCUCAACUACCUCCUCUGGCAGCUUGUUCCAUAAACCCACCACCUUUAGUGUGAAAAAGUUACCACUCAGAUUCCUAUUAAAUAUUUUCCCCUUCAACUUGAACCUAUGUCCUCUGGUCCUCGAUUCCCCCAAGAGAUUCUGUGCAUUUACCCGAUUCUUUCCUCUCAUGAUUUUAUACACCUCUAUAAGAUCACCCCUCAUCCUCCUGCGCUCCAAGGAAUAUGAGCUCCAGCCUACUCAACCUCUCCCUAUAGCACAGACCCUCUAGUCCUAGCAACAUCCUCGUAAAUCUUUUCUGAACCUUUUCAAGCUUGACAAUAUCUUUCCUAUAAUAUGGUGCCUAGAACUGAACACAAUUGUUUUUUGUUGGGUUUUAAAGUAACAACAAAUACUGAACAGAUUUAUUUAGAGGCAAAAAAUUACGAGUUUAUGGCUAAUCUCUUGAUUCUUCAAUACACAGCAUAGAUCGUAGUAAAGGCACCAUUAGUGAUCAUAAUAUUAUGUUUUAAUACACAAUUUGAGAGGGAGAAGGGAUAAUUCAAAGUGUCAGCAUUACAGUUGAACAAAGGGGAAUAUGGAGCCAUGAGGUAGGAGCUGGCCAAAGCUGACUGGAAAGAUACCCUAGCAGGGAUGACAGUGGAACAACAAUGGCAGGCAUUUCUGGGAAUAAAACAGAAGGUGCAGGAUCAGUUCAUUCCAAAGAGGAAGUAAGAUUCCAAGGGGAAUAAGGGGUGACCGUGGCUGACAAAGGAAGUCAAGGACAGUAUAAAAAAUAAAAGGGAAGAUGAGUGAGAAGUCAGAGGAUUGGGUAAAUUUUAAAGAGCAACGGAAGAUAACAAAAAAGCCAAUACAGGGAGAAAAGACGAGGUACGAAGGUAGGUUAGCCAAGAAUAUAAAGGAGGAUAGUAAAAGCGUCUUUAGGUAUGUGAAGAGGAAAAAAAUAGUUAAGACCAAAGUUGGACCCUUGAAGACUGAAACAGGUGAAUUUAUUAUGGGGAACAAGGAAAUGGCAGACGAGUUGAACAGGUACUUUGGAUCCGUCUUCACCAAGGAAGACACGAACAAUUUCCCUGAUGUACUAGUGGCCAGAGGAUCUAGGGUGACGGACGAACUGAAGGAAAUUCACAUUAGGCAGGAAAUAUUGUUGCGUACACUGAUGGAACUGAAGGCUGAUAAAUCCCCAAGGCCUGAUGGUCUGCAUCCCAGGGUACUUAAGGAAGUGACUCUAGAAAUCAUGGACGCAUUGGUGAUCAUUUCCCAAUGUUCUAUAGAUUCAGGAUCAGUUCCUGUGGAUUGGAGGGUAGCUAAUGUUAUCCCACUUUUUAAGAAAGGCGGGAGAGAGAAAACAGGGAAUUAUAGACGUUAGCCUGACAUCAGUGGUGGGGAAGAUGCUAGAGUCAAUUAUAAAAGAUGAAAUAGCGGCACAUUUUGAAAGCAGUAACAAGAUUGGUCCGAGUCAGCAUGGAUUUACAAAGGGGGAAAUCAUGCUUGACUAAUCUUCUGGAAUUUUUUGAGGAUGUAACUAGGAAAAUGGACAAGGGAGAACCAGUGGAUGUAGUGUACCUGGACUUUCAGAAAGCAUUUGAUAAAGUCCCACAAAGGAGAUUAGUGGACAAAAUUAGAGCAUAUGGUAUUGGGGAUAGGGUACUGACAUGGAUGGAAAAUUGGUUGGCAGGCAGGGGUACAAAGAGUAAGGAUUAACGGGUCCCUUUCAGAAUGGCAGGCAGUGACUAGUGGGGUACCGCAAGGCUCGGUGCUGGGACUGCAGCUAUUUACAAUAUACAUCAAUGAUUUAGAUGAAGGGAUUCAAAGUAAUAUCAGCGAAUUUGCAGAUGACCCUAAGCUGGGUGGCAGUGUGAACUGUGAGGAGGAUACUAUGAGAAUGCAGAGUGACUUGGACCGGUUAGGUGAGUGGGUGGAUGCAUAGUAGAUGCAGUUUAAUGUGGAUAAAUGUGAGGUGGCAAACACAGGAAGGCAGAUUAUUGUCUGAAUGGUGUCAAGUUGGGGAAAUGGUAAGUACAAAGAGACCUGGGGGUCCUGGUUCAUCACUCACUGAAAGUAAGCAUGCACUACAGCUGGCAGUGAAGAAAGCAAAUGGCAUGUUGGUCUUGUUAACAAGAGGAGUUGAGCAUAGGAGUAAAGAGGCCCUUCUGCAGUUGUACAGGGCCCUAGUGAGACCUCACCUGGAGUACAGGGUGCAAUUGUGGUCACCAUAUUUGAGGAAGGACAUUCUUGCUAUUGAGGGCGUUGCAGCGUAGGUUCACUGUUAAUUGCCGGGGUGGCGGGACUGUCAUAUGUUAAUAGGAUGGAGCAGCUGGGCUUGUAUACUCUGGAAUUUAGAAGAAUGAGGGGAUCUCCUUACCAUGGAGGACUUACACAGUUCCCGCUGCACCAAAAAAUCCCAGAGUAUCAUAAAGGACAUUUCCCACCCCGGACACUCCCUGUUUGAACUGUUGCCGUCAGGCAGACGGCACAGAUCUACAAGGACAAGGAUUGUGAAGACCGCCAGCAGGAUUAUUGGUGCUCCACUCCCUUUCCUGCUGGACAUAUACAGGAAGAGAUGUAUCAGCAGAGCCAUCUCCAUCAUCAAAGACCCCUACAACCCAUCGCAUCACAUAUUCUCCAUCCUGCCAUCUGGGAGGAGGUACAGGAGCAUUAGCUGCAAAACCAGCAGGAUGCUCCUCAGCUUCUUCCCACAGGCUAUUAGCCUGCUAAACGGAUUUUGCCCCCGCCAAAGUAUCGCGCACCAACCACCAACCUGGACACACUGCAGCAGAGCCACUGUCGUGCCGCUGCCGAUCGGAACGCCUGUUGAAUGUUUAGUAGAGUGUUAAAUUUGUUCAUGAUAUAUGUAUUUUUAUUUCUAUUUAUUUUUUAAUACACACUGAAUGGACACUGGUUGAGCAACGUUUUUUUUGUUUCCUCUGGGUAUGUGAAUACUCAGGAAAUGACAAUAAAGAUAUACAAUACAAUACAAUACAAUACGAACAGACUAAAAAACAGUUUUUACCCCACUGCUAUAAAAGCACUAAAUGUAGCCGCCAAGGAAUGCAGGGGCGAUACAUACUAAGGGAAUGUGGUACAUUGUGAAAUCGACAGAAGGAUGGAGGGUUGGGUGUUUAUGCGGGCUAUUUUCGUGAUAUUUAUUUUAGUUGUUUAUCUUUUAAUAUUUUAUCUUGUAUGUAUCGUUAGCUUUUAGAAAUGUUUGAAUGGUGCACUGACUGGCUGACAUUUUUAAAUUUCGUUGUACAUGGUUCAUGUUACAAUGACAAUAAAGAAACUAUUCUAUUCUAUCUUAUUAUAACAUAUGAUUAUUAAGGGAUUGGACGUGCUAGAGGCAGAAAACAUGUUCCCGAUGUUGGGGGAGUCCAGAACCAGGGGCCACAGUUUAAGAAUAAGGGGGAGGCCAUUUAGAACGGAGAUGAGGACAAACUUUUUUUACUCAUAGUUGUGAAUCUGUGGAAUUCUCUGCCUCAGAAGGCAGUGGAAGCCAAUUCUGUGGAUGCUUUCAAGAGAGAGUUAGAUAGCUCUUAAAAAUAGAGUCAGGAGAUAUGGUGAGAAGGCAGGAACGAGGUACUGAAUGUGGAUGAUCAGCCAUGAUCACAGUGAAUGGCAGUACUGGCUCGAAGGGCCGAAUGGCCUAUUCCUGCACCUAUUGUCUAUUGUAGUCUCCCAACGCAAAAAUGUUGUCAGAAAAUACUCCAGAGUUUAGCGCAGCAGCGUCGCUGGAAGUAUGUGUCCGAGUGUCGUCGGCUGCAGCAAAGUUAAAAAAUAAAAAUAGAUACUUCUAUAUUGUUGUGCCUAAUAGAAAGAGAUGGAUGCAAGAUGCUUAUUUUGUCUUUCUAAAAUUAAGCAUUAACUUUUAUAACCGCGUUCUUCAUAAUGUAAACAUGAGUGGGAGCGCUGAUGCAAUUGCGAAGGCCGUUUCAUUUUCACAGCAGCCACAAUACGUUUUACUUUGACAUAAUUCCAUGAAGAGCAAAAUCAUCUCACAUUCAGGACAUUGUCUAUACGUGAUGCGUUUAACAUGGUUCCAAAAUAACUUUCUGUUCACAGUCCUCGGUUUUACAGGCCACAUGAGAUGGGGAGGGAAGCAGCUCUUGGAGCUCGGAUAUGACAAUAAUCUAUCAACUACCAAAACUUUAUAUCGCUCGCUUUCGUCAUUGUUUCCAGUACACGUUUGGAUAAAAUGUGCUCUUAAGAGAUCCAAGUGAUGUGCGCAGCAAAGUGAACUUCGAAAGACAAAGAUAAUUUGGUAUCCUAAUUUCUCUAUUCCUGACGCUUGCAUAUCCUCCGUUCAAUCAACAUGCUCGAUUAGCAUGGCUCUGACCUUUGCAUUGCUAUAGACCUAUUGGACACCGACUAUCGAUUAAAAUAGCUUAUGUUUGGGGUUUUCGUGGAAAUAAGAACCCACAGCCCACACCUUGGAGCAUACGUGACCAACAAACGCUGCGUAUUUGCCACUGUGUGG